UACAGGGGGUGCAAACGUUGCUCGGAAUUAUUGGGCGUAAAGCGCGCGUAGGCGGCUACCUAAGUCGGAUGUGAAAGCCCCUGGCUUAACUGGGGAAGUGCACCCGAAACUGGGUAGCUAGAGUGCGAAAGAGGGUCGCGGAAUUCCCGGUGUAGAGGUGAAAUUCGUAGAUAUCGGGAGGAACACCGGUGGCGAAGGCGGCGACCUGGGUCGACACUGACGCUGAGGCGCGAAAGCGUGGGGAGCAACAGG
rnacentral:rRNA from 1 species